GUUUAGUCCUGUUUAAAGCUAAUUAUCACAACCAAUUACACAUUUCUCUGUUUCUUCUCCCCUUUCACUGCUUUACUUGACUAGCCUUUU
rnacentral:sRNA from 1 species